UGGGGAAGUGUGCACAAGGGGGGAAACCCUGAUGCAGCGACGCCGCGUGAUUUAGAAGGCCUUCGGGUUGUAAAAAUCUUUUCUAUGGGAAGAAAAUGACAGUACCAUAGGAAUAAGGACCGGCUAAUUACGUGCCAGCAGCCGCGGUAAUACGUAAGGUCCGAGCGUUGUCCGGAAUCAUUGGGCGUAAAGGGUACGUAGGCGGGUAAGCAAGUUAGAAGUGAAAUCCUAUAGCUCAACUAUAGUAAGCUUUUAAAACUGCUCAUCUUGAGGUAUGGAAGGGAAAGUGGAAUUCCUAGUGUAGCGGUGAAAUGCGCAGAUAUUAGGAGGAAUACCGGUGGCGAAGGCGACUUUCUGGCCAUAACCUGACGCUGAGGUACGAAAGCGUGGGUAGCAAACAGG
rnacentral:rRNA from 1 species